rnacentral:rRNA from 1 species
UACCGAGUUUACAACUCCCAAACCCAAUGUGAACCAUACCAAACUGUUGCCUCGGCGGGGUCACGCCCCGGGUGCGUCCCAGCCCCGGAACCAGGCGCCCGCCGGAGGGACCAACCAAACUCUUUCUGUAGUCCCCUCGCGGACGUUAUUUCUUACAGCUCUGAGCAAAAAUUCAAAAUGAAUCAAAACUUUCAACAACGGAUCUCUUGGUUCUGGCAUCGAUGAAGAACGCAGCGAAAUGCGAUAAGUAAUGUGAAUUGCAGAAUUCAGUGAAUCAUCGAAUCUUUGAACGCACAUUGCGCCCGCCAGUAUUCUGGCGGGCAUGCCUGUCCGAGCGUCAUUUCAACCCUCGAACCCCUCCGGGGGGUCGGCGUUGGGGAUCGGGAACCCCUAAGACGGGAUCCCGGCCCCGAAAUACAGUGGCGGUCUCGCCGCAGCCUCUCCUGCGCAGUAGUUUGCACAACUCGCACCGGGAGCGCGGCGCGUCCACGUCCGUAAAACACCCAACUUCUGAAAUGUUGACCUCGGAUCAGGUAGGAAUACCCGCUGAACUUAAGCAUAUCAAUAAGCGGAAGAAAAGAAACCAACAGGGAUUGCCCCAGUAACGGCGAGUGAAGCGGCAACAGCUCAAAUUUGAAAUCUGGCCCCUANGGUCCGAGUUGUAAUUUGUAAAGGAUGCU